rnacentral:rRNA from 1 species
GCCAGACUCCUACGGGAGGCAGCAGUGGGGAAUAUUGCACAAUGGGGGAAACCCUGAUGCAGCGACGCCGCGUGAGUGAAGAAGUGUUUCGGUAUGUAAAGCUCUAUCAGCAGGAAAGAAAAUGACGGUACCUGACUAAGAAGCCCCGGCUAACUACGUGCCAGCAGCCGCGGUAAUACGUAGGGGGCAAGCGUUAUCCGGAUUUACUGGGUGUAAAGGGAGCGUAGACGGUGAAGCAAGUCUGAAGUGAAAGGCGGGGGCUCAACCCCCGGACUGCUUUGGAAACUGUUUGACUGGAGUGCAGGAGAGGUAAGUGGAAUUCCUAGUGUAGCGGUGAAAUGCGUAGAUAUUAGGAGGAACACCAGUGGCGAAGGCGGUCUGCUGGACAGCAACUGACGCUGAGGCGCGAAAGCGUGGGGAGCAAACAGGAUUAGAUACCCCCGUAA